AGCAGCCGCGGUAAUUCCAGCUCCAAUAGCGUAUAUUAAAGUUGUUGCAGUUAAAAAGCUCGUAGUUGAAUUUCGGGACCAUCAUGUCGGUCGUGCCUCGGUACGUACUGGCAUUGUUGGUUUCUCCCUUCUGACGAACCAUGAUGUCAUUUAUUUGGUGUUGUGGGAAAUCAGGACUGUUACUUUGAAAAAUUAGAGUGUUUAAAGCAGGCUCACGCUUGAAUACAUUAGCAUGGAAUAAUGAAAUAGGACGUUUGAUUCUAUUUUGUUGGUUUCUAGGAUCGAUGUAAUGAUUAAUAGGGAUAGUUGGGGCAUUAGUAUUCAAUUGUCAGAGGUGAAAUUCUUGGAUUUAUUGAAGACUAACUACUGCGAAAGCAUUUGCCAAGGAUGUUUUCAUUAAUCAAGAACGAAAGUUAGGGGAUCGAAGACGAUCAGAUACCGUCGUAGUCUUAACCAUAAACUAUGCCGACUAGGGAUCGGAUGAUGUUAAUUUUUAAUG
rnacentral:rRNA from 1 species